rnacentral:lncRNA from 1 species
CUUAGAGCCCUGGCGAUGAACAGCAGUUGAGACGUUGAGAGCUGGAGAGGCGCAGCUCGCGCAGGGCUGAGCGCGCGUGAGGCGGCCCAGGAAGGCUGCGGAGAGGAAAAGCGCACAGACGAAGCGGGAGGUGAUUGGAGCUGUGACCACGGAAGGAAAGACAGAAUUUUCAUUUCUUAGCGAGACUCUCGAUGUUAUCCGUUGCCUUCUGAAGGAAUCACUAGUUACUGUGGAA